GACGAACGCUGGCGGCGUGCUUAACACAUGCAAGUCGAACGCUGAAGCUUGGUGCUUGCACUGGGUGGAUGAGUGGCGAACGGGUGGGUAAUACGUGAGUAACCUGCCCUUGACUCUGGGAUAAGCCUGGGAAACUGGGUCUAAUACUGGAUACGACAUGUCACCGCAUGGUGGUGUGUGGAAAGGGUUUUACUGGGUUUGGAUGGGUUCAAGGCCAAUCAGCUUGUUGGUGGGGUAAUGGCUCACCAAGCCAACGACGGGUAGCCGGCCCGAGAGGUGGACCGCCCUCAAUGGUACUGAGGCACGCCCCAGACGCCUACGGUCGGCAGCGGUGGGGAAUCUUGCACAAUGGGCGGGAGCCUGAUGCAGCGACGCCGCGUGAGUGAUGACGGGUUUCGGGUUGUAAACCUCUUUCAGCACAGAAGAAGACAAAGUGACGGUACGUGCAGAAGAAGCGCCGGCUAACUACGUG
rnacentral:rRNA from 1 species